rnacentral:lncRNA from 1 species
AUGUAUUUUAAUGGCUUUGUCCAACAGCAGCUAGCUUGUUCCUGUUUAUUACUGAUAAUUAAGCAGUUUUGCUCGAUUAUGCUCUGCUCACAGACUGCAAGCAACACCAAACCCUGCCAUGUACCAGCACCAAGUAGCUCAAUAGCUCGGGCCCUUAGUCCUGCGCUCCGGCUUUUCACCUCAGCUCACGGGGAAAGCAAAGGUGAGGCCGCCCUGCGCCUGGCCACUUUCAUCCCCCCGGAGGGAGGGGCUGCACAGCUCCCUGAACGUCCCAGAUGCCUUGGGCUCCCUUCCCAGAGGGAUGUCCCCGCUCCUGGCAGCCCGGCCAGACGGAGGGACAACCCACGCUCCCCUACCCGAGGCCCACUAGAAAGCACAGACAUCACAGAGAAAAGGAGAAUCCCUCCUUUUCUGAAUGCUGAAUCCCUCCAGCAACUUGGAAGGUGAGUUUUCUCUUUCCUUAUUUCAUUUGAAGUUAUAUAUGAAGUGGUUAUUCAUGUCGAGAAAAUGGUUGAUAUUAAUAAAGAAGGGGGAGAUUUGAGAGUGUGGCCAUGGAGGUUGGAAAGCCCCGUGGUUGAGAUAACAUUAGACUGUUAAGGAUAAGGCCAUCAGGAAUAUAAAAGAGUUUAGAAGGAACAAAGAAGGGUGAUUCAGGAGAGUCCAUGCAGUCUCCAGUUUCUUGUUCUCCAGCUGGUUUCUUGUUCUCCAGCUGUUAAGGCAUGGAUGUUUCUGUGUGUUUGCUGUUGUUGUUACAUUCAAAGUUGUUUGGCCAAUGAAAAGUUGUUUUGAAAAGAACUGCUGUGGAGAGAAUGGUAUAAGAGGGGAGCCUGCCCUCAAGAUAAAAAAAGAAAAAGGGCAGCAUGAUGAAGUUACAUCAAUAAAGAAGCAGGAAAAAGAAGUGAAGAGGAACAGGCUGGCAGAAUGGAGACCAGGACAGGAACAAGCAUUUGAUUGCCUCAUAGGUUCGGCCAGACUCAGCAAACCGCUCAGAGAAGCUCGUACUGAAAGUCGCUGGAAACAGGUGCACUGGAGCUGGAGAGAAGCUUAAGCUGAGAGAAGCGGACCUGUGCACACAACUGCCUCUCACUG